GGCAGAGUGGUGCAGCGGAAGCGUGCUGGGCCCGUAACCCAGAGGUCAAUGGAUCGAAGCCAUCCUUGGCUA
rfam:Homo sapiens chromosome 6, GRCh38 reference primary assembly.